GCGGAAUCAGUCCUUGAAAGAUCUCCUCAGACUGCCGAUUCUGAGGCUUUUUGGUGUCUUAGCCCUUUGUCUCCCGGUUGUCCUUCUGAGAGCUGUCCCACUUUCAGCCCUGGCUCUGUGUGGCAUCCAUCUUUCACACGAGUGACAACGCCCCCCCACCCCCACUCUGCACUGCCACUCUUAUUUUCAUCGUCUAUUGUUCCAGCCCGGCACAGCAAGUCCCACAAUUCUAUCAUCUCCACAAGCUCAAUACUUGCCUGCACUGCUGAUAAGUAGCCAAACACUGAGGUGAUGAAUAAAUCACAAUGAAGCACAUACACAUGUGCUAAAACCAGGAGGAGGCCAAUUUAUUUGGUGUAUUUUUGGCUAGUUUGAAGAAUUCUAGGACACAUUUUGUGCACAGCUUCAUGCUGUAUUAUUUGGUUAAGGUGCACACACCACUACUUAUGGUAAUGAUUGAUACCUCACAUUCACACCAUUUCACAAUAUUGUCAGUGUGACAUGUGUGACAAUUGUGUGACUAACAAUGUUUCAAGCUUUGUAUUUGAAAUUAUCUCUCAAAAAAAUUGGUUCUCUAAUUCUUUAAUUUUACUCAAGAAUUAAUGCUCUAAUAUCAAAUUGUUGUUCCAUAUCUAAGCUUUCCCCCCUUUUUUUGAAAUGAGGACCAACAGCAGGGAAAAAAAAAAAAAAAGAAAAAGAAAAAAAAAAAAAAAAAAAAAGAGUUCUCGCAUUUUUUCAAGAGGUCCAUAAACGCUAUAACGAUAAUUAACUUUCUUUGCAGCAACGUCCGAUAUUAUGUCACUCUGUUUCUCCAUUGAAGAGAGUGUUUAAGGUUUUGUGCAAAAAGGAUAACAUCUAAGCAUCAAGUAUAAUAAGUACAGCGCCUGUACCAAAACAAAAAUAUAUAUACUUCAAAGUCACUAUCCACUAUUUGUUGUCUGCAAUUUUCUGUUUUCUUUCAGUUCUGUACCCCCUGCCCUGCAUGUCAGAUUGCUCCUUGUUCUCACACACUAAAUGUUUUCAGCUCUUUCUGGAAAUCACUGAAGGAUGGGGAGUGAAUAUAGAGAUGUUUUUUUUUCUUUUUUUGUUAAAUCGUUGCUUUGAUCAUUACCAACAUCAAACCAAACUAAAUAAAAACAAAAAAAAAAAAACCUGUUUUUCGGUGUAACAUUUUUGAAGAGUUACUUCAAAUUUUAAAUGAGCUCUGUGGUGAUAUCGACUGUGUACAUAAGUACAUAAUAAAAAGUACAUAAUAAAAAAAGAAAUCCGAAAAAUCCCCGUCUAAUCUCUAUAGAAAUGCAUGUACAUGAUGGUCAUAGCAUUCAGGGUCUGAAAAGUAAAGCCAUGGGGUAAUAACUUAAACUCUUUGAUGUGGGGGGGGGGCUGUGCAUACAAGUUUACGUCAAUACCAUUUUUAUAUAAAUUUCCUUGAAUACUCACAUAUUUCUACAUACUAAGCUUCUCUAUAUUUACCAAAUCACUAGCACAGGAGUGAACAGGAUCGUUCACCUCUGUCAACUUUAGGCUUCAAAAACAGCUCACUGCUUUAAACCUACUUUAUUUCAGAGAGAAAUCCUUUGCCAAAACCAUCCUCGUGGCAGUUUGGAAGUUGUGCAGGUCUUCUCAGACUAAAGUCGCCCAUUUAUUUAACUGUUGCUUUGGGAUCUUUAAAUUUAACAAACCGGUUUACUGCUUUAAACUGACGGUAAUUGAUUUGGUCAGACAGGAAUUCUCCUCUAAACCCCAUUCUAAAAACAGCAGCUUUAAGGUUGAAAUAAAAAUGCAAAAAUAAUCACAUCAGCAAUCAUAACAUUCAUGGUGGAAACAAAACUAUCAAAGAGAAACUUCCACAGACAUGGCCACUUUGAUAUAUUGAGAAAUAUAUUUAAAUUUAAAUACAUCUUCAUAAAAAAAAUUAAAAAAAAUGAAAUCAAUCACUUUCGACAUCUUGUCAUAAGACGGUAACUGACCUGACAGAGAAAGUUCACUGGGCGCCACAGAUUCUUGUAGUUAGAUCUGCAGCACCCCCGAGGGCUCCGACACCUCCAACAAUUCAGACCUUACACUGUCACCAUGGUUACUACUGCCUGACACCUCUGGCAAUGGCAAAUAGACUGACCACAGUGGAACAUUUGAGACGACAUUGGCAGAGCCCGUGUGCAUCGUCACACAAUAAAGACCUCAGGGCAUGAGGGAACACUGAGAGCCAGUUACACUUAGAGAAAGCAAAGAACUUCAUGGACAAACACGAGGGUGAAAAGGGGGACGGCACUGGCAGGGUGUCCAUCUCCAGCUGGCGUAACGUGGAAUGUUAAUUAGGCCUGCAAUAACAAGACACCACCCUCUUAAAUGUCACAUCCUCGUGAGGAGAGCAGGGGAUGGCGAACUUCUGUCAGGCAAAGGGUGUCAUGCUUUGUUUGCUUUUUCAGCAUGGAUUUCUCUUCUGUUGCCUCUACCCCAAGCAUUUUCUCUUAUCAUUCUCCUGCUCCUGCCCUUCUGCUAUGCUGUUUACUCUGUGAUGAAUGGCUUCAUUUCAGGUUGAGCUCUUUUUAAAAAAAAAAAAAAAAGCUGGAAUAGAUUACAAUCAGUGCAAUUGUGCAGAAAUAAGACUCAUCUCACUGAAAAAGAAAAAGAAAUAAUUGAGGAGGGGGCAGCAGAGGAUGGAAAAUAUAGAGUGCAACUGCACUUCACACUAAUGCAGAAAUUGUCAGACCCAUCUCUGAUGAAGGUGUUUUGGACUGCAGGGGCUCUUACAAAAAAGGUCUUGAUAAGAGCGCUCAGGGGCCAGGAGAGGAUGUAAACAAAUAUCGUGGUGGUUUGUAAUGAGACAUGACACAGUGAGAAUACUGUGGCCUUUCAAAUGGCAAGCCUCGUUAUCAGUCUGGUUUCACAGCCUCAGAGGGACAAAGAUUCUGAUAAUGGGUCAUCAGUAACGAAGGGUUGGACAGAAGACCUGCUGAAGCUUAAUAUGAGAGGUUGCUGAACUACUGAGCUAAUGUGGGAGAGACACUUUACACAGUGUGUGCGGUUUUACCAUUGACAUUUAAGUCUGUGGUUUUCCCGCUCAAUCAGUUACUACAUUUACUGGUACAGCAGCACACAGCUUCUUACACUAGCUAUGUCCUUGUCCAACGUAUCCGUCCUGGAAGCCAAAAUUUGCAGAACAGCUCAUUCUCCCGAAUCAAAAGCAGCAAUGGAUUGAUUUUGUGAAGAGUCGUAUUGAUGUGUGUUGUGUGUUAGCACCACAAAAAACUUCUACCACUGUGACUUUUUAUGUUUUGGGGUUUUUCUACAGAUUUUAUUUUUGGGAAUUUUAG
ensembl:lncRNA